CGCCUCACUCGGCUCCCGGGGUGUGGGUGAGGCGCGGGGACUGCGAACUUCUGAGCGUGCGCGGCCGCAGUCGCCGCGCGGCUUCACCUUUUGCUGCGCGGGUCCUUCCGCUCGCGGCUGCUUCCAGGGCGCCUGGUCGCCUCCGCUUCUGUCCAGGGCCCGGCAGCGACAGCAUCUGAGGGGAAGAUGGAGCUUUUCGGAGAAAUACACUUUAACUCAUUUAUGAAGAAGAUUCAUUUUAUGUCCUCAUUGAGCGAAGGGAAGACUCCCUGGAAAGCGUUCGGUGAGGAAAAGAAGGUGCACGGAGGGGCCUACCUGUAUGUGAAGAUAUGUUGUCUGGAAGGAUAACAGUGAAAGUCAAACAUUUAACACCUGGGUCAGCUCUGCGACCAGGGAUGCUGCUGGCUUGAGAUCCGGAAGCAUGCUGGGGAUCCUCUAAUAUCUAAGUUUUAACCCUGUAAUGACUGACUGAAAUUCCGGGGGGCGGGGGUGACACUCCAGGGGCUUGGAGCAGCAGCUGUUUACCAAUCUGUAGAGAAUCUUUAAGCAGUUUAACAACAUGCGGUCAUCCUGGUGCUCCCUGGCAGCUGCCCACCGGUCCUCCUGGGAGUGGGGACUUGAGGGUGGGAGGGACUCUGUUUCCAGCCUGCCCUUUAGCACCAUUUGGAAUGCUUUGUCGUUGUUGUUUGAAUUCUAUUCAAUCGUACUUGGAGAUCGAAUUUAA